CAGUAGCCACGGUAAUACGUAGGUGGCAAGCGUUAUCCGGAAUGAUUGGGCGUAAAGCGAGCGCAGGCGGUUAGAUAAGUCUGAAGUUAAAGGCUGUGGCUUAACCAUAGUACGCUUUGGAAACUGUUUAACUUGAGUGCAAGAGGGGAGAGUGGAAUUCCAUGUGUAGCGGUGAAAUGCGUAGAUAUAUGGAGGAACACCGGUGGCGAAAGCGGCUCUCUGGCUUGUAACUGACGCUGAGGCUCGAAAGCGUGGGGAGCAAACAGGAUUAGAUACCCCAGUAGUCCCUGUCUCUUAUACA
rnacentral:rRNA from 1 species